rnacentral:rRNA from 1 species
UACGGGGGGGGGCAAGCGUUGUUCGGAAUUACUGGGCGUAAAGGCUCGUAGGUGGCCAACUAAGUCGGACGUGAAAUCCCUCAGCUUAACUGGGGAACUGCGUCCGAUACUGGAUGGCUCGAGUUUGGGAGAGGGAUGCGGAAUUCCAGGUGUAGCGGUGAAAUGCGUAGAUAUCUGGAGGAACACCGGUGGCGAAGGCGGCAUCCUGGACCAACACUGACACUGAGGAGCGAAAGCCAGGGGAGCAAACGGG